UGGGGGAUAUUGCACAAUGGAGGGAACUCUGAUGCAGCGACGCCGCGUGAGGGAAGAAGGUUUUCGGAUUGUAAACCUCUGUCUUCGGUGACGAAACGAGACGGUAGCCGAGGAGGAAGCCACGGCUAACUACGUGCC
rnacentral:rRNA from 1 species